rfam:Lupinus angustifolius cultivar Tanjil chromosome LG03, whole genome shotgun sequence.
AUCUGAUGAUGGGGGCAGCUUGCACAUAGUCUCUUGAAUCUCUCCCAACAUUCAUAUAAACUUUCUGCAUGUAGUUGUCUGAUUCCAGAAAUAUCGUUUCUGAUUGU